rnacentral:rRNA from 1 species
CGCGGCCUAUCAGCUUGUUGGUGAGGUAACGGCUCACCAAGGCAUCGACGGGUAGCUGGUCUGAGAGGACGAUCAGCCACACUGGGACUGAGACACGGCCCAGACUCCUGCAGGAGGCAGCAGUGGGGAAUCUUGCGCAAUGGGCGAAAGCCUGACGCAGCAACGCCGCGUGGGGGAUGAAGGCUCUCGGGUUGUAAACCCCUUUCAGCAGGGACGAAAUUGACGGUACCUGCAGAAGAAGCCCCGGCCAACUACGUGCCAGCAGCCGCGGUGACACGUAGGGGGCGAGCGUUGUCCGGAAUUAUUGGGCGUAAAGAGCUCGUAGGCGGUUUAGUAAGUCAGAUGUGAAAGGUUGGGGCUCAACCCUAAGACUGCAUCCGAUACUGCUAUGACUAGAGUCCGGUAGAGGAGUGUGGAAUUCCUGGUGUAGCGGUGAAAUGCGCAGAUAUCAGGAGGAACACCGACGGCGAAGGCAGCACUCUGGGCCGGUACUGACGCUCAGGAGCGAAAGCGUGGGUAGCAAACAGGAUUAGAUACCCUGGUAGUCCACGCCGUAAACGUUGGGCACUAGGUGUGGGGCCUUAUCAACGGGUUCCGUGCCGUAGCUAACGCAUUAAGUGCCCCGCCUGGGGAGUACGG